GUGUUCAUAAAAAAGGAGAGGUGGUUGGCAUCUCCCCUGACAGCGACGGGAACGGCCUUUGGGCAUUACCUGUUACCAAUAUACCCGGUUAAGGCUUCCCACUUCGGUGGAUCUAUAAUCCACAAUUGUCA